CCUACGAGUGGCAGCAGUGGGGGAUAUUGCACAAUGGGGGAAACCCUGAUGCAGCGACGCCGCGUGAGGGAAGACGGUUUUCGGAUUGUAAACCUCUGUCCUCUGUGAAGAUGAUGACGGGGGCAGAGGCGGAUGCUCCGGCUAACUACGUGCCAGCAGCCGCGGUAAUACGUAGGGAGCGAGCGUUUUCCGGAUUUACUGGGUGUAAAGGGUGCGUAGGCGGCUUGGCAAGUCAGUAGUGAAAUCCAUGGGCUUAACCCAUGAACUGCUAUUGAAACUGUCGAGCUUGAGUGAAGUAGAGGUAGGCGGAAUUCCCGGUGUAGCGGUGAAAUGCGUAGAGAUCGGGAGGAACACCAGUGGCGAAGGCGGCCUACUGGGCUUUAACUGACGCUGAGGCACGAAAGCGUGGGUAGCAAACAGGAUUAGAUACCCUUGUAGUC
rnacentral:rRNA from 1 species